rfam:Phytophthora parasitica P1569 supercont1.1075, whole genome shotgun sequence.
UUGAAAUGAUGUUUACAAGAUAAUCCAACUCUGAAGCCUAUGUGUAGAUUGAAAAUCUAAGAGCUUUUUAACCCUGAUCAAU